CAGAGGGUGCGAGCGUUAAUCGGAAUUACUGGGCGUAAAGCGAGUGUAGGUGGCUCAUUAAGUCACAUGUGAAAUCCCCGGGCUUAACCUGGGAACUGCAUGUGAUACUGGUGGUGCUAGAAUAUGUGAGAGGGAAGUAGAAUUCCAGGUGUAGCGGUGAAAUGCGUAGAGAUCUGGAGGAAUACCGAUGGCGAAGGCAGCUUCCUGGCAUAAUAUUGACACUGAGAUUCGAAAGCGUGGGUAGCAAACAGGAUU
rnacentral:rRNA from 1 species